rnacentral:rRNA from 1 species
UAAAAUGGCUGGAGGAAUGUAGCUUCGAUCUUGUAUUGAAGUGUUAUAGCCUUCGGUAGAUGUGACGAUCGGGAUUGAGGAUUGCAACGGAUACCCUUCGGGGCUACCUGUCUGAUCUCUGAUUGUUGCUCUGGUGCCGAAAGCUUGCUUACGGUUAUUAAAGUCGAUGGUCAAUAGGUUAGAAUGGGUUAAAUUCGUUAAGGGAUGUUGACGUA